GGACCACCAGGAUCCACUGGCAUACAAGGUCCUAUUGGAAUCCCAGGUCAAGCCGGCCAAGACGGAGAACCCGGUCGCAGAGGUCAGCCAGGAAUGCAAGGACAAAAGGGAGAUGAAGGACAUCGAGGCUUUACCGGCGUGUCAGGUCCUCGGGGACUCCAGGGUAUGCCUGGACCUCCAGGAGAGAAGGGAGAAA